UCCCGGUUAACCCGGGCAGUCUCGUUAGAGUUCCCACCAUUACGUGCUGGCAACUAACGAUAAGGGUUGCGCUCGUUGCGGGACUUAACCCAACACCUCACGGCACGAGCUGACGACAGCCAUGCAGCACCUGUGCACUGGCCCCGAAGGGAAUUGGCAUCUCUGCCAACGCCCAGUGCAUGUCAAGCCUGGGUAAGGUUCUUCGCGUUGCAUCGAAUUAAACCACAUGCUCCACUGCUUGUGCGGGUCCCCGUCAAUUCUUUUGAGUUUCAGCCUUGCGACUGUACUCCCCAGGCGGUAUACUUAUCGCGUUUGCUUCGGCACAACCAGGGUUGAAUCCAGUUACACCAAGUAUACAUCGUUUACGGCAAGGACUAC
rnacentral:misc_RNA from 1 species